rnacentral:rRNA from 1 species
GGGUCAGUAGGUUGGUCGUGCCACCGGUACGUACUGGUCUCACUGAUUCCUCCUUCCUGAAGAACCGUAAUGCCAUUAAUUUGGUGUUGCGGGGAAACAGGACUGUUACUUUGAAAAAAUAGAGUGUUUAAAGCAAGCUAACGCUUGAAUACAUUAGCAUGGAAUAAUGAAAUAGGACGAUCGAUCCUAUUUUGUUGGUUUCUAGGAUUGACGUA